GACGAACGCUGGCGGCGUGCUUAACACAUGCCAGUCGAACGGACAGGCCCUGCUUUUGUGGGGGGCUCGAGUGGCGAACGGGUGGGUCACACGUUAUUAACCUGCCCUUGACUUUGGGAUUACUUCAGGUAACUGGGGCUACUACCUGAUAGGAGCUCCUGCUGCAUGGUGGGGGUUGGAAAGUUUCGGCGGGUGGGGUUGGAAUCGGGGCUUCUCAGAUUGGUGGUGGGGUAGUGGCUUACCAAGGCUUUGACGGGUAGCCGGCCUGAGAGGGUGACAGGCCAAAUUGGGACGGAGAUACGGCCCAGACUACUACGGGAGGCAGCAGUGGGGAAUAGUGUACAAUGGGAGGAAGCCUGAUGCAGCAACGCCGCGUGCGGGAAGACGGCAUUCGGGUUGUAAACCGAAUUCGCCUGAGACGAAGCGUGAGUGACGGUAAUGGGUAAAGAAGCACCGGCUAACUACGUG
rnacentral:rRNA from 1 species